rnacentral:lncRNA from 1 species
ACUGAUCAACCAACAUUGUUGUACAGAAGCUCCCAGAUGUAUCAAUCUAUCCCCUAACUGCUGUCUUUUUUGGAUGUCAUUUCUUGCAUACACCACAGUGAGAAGUGUUUUAAAAGUGGUACCUGUUUGCUUAACUUCACAAUGUAUGAAUUGUUCAUCAGACAUCAAAAUUGUCACUUCACAUCUAUGUUUCCAUAAUAGCCAUAUCCUGCCAUUUGAAUGUUCAUUGUAGUUACAGCAGCUGCUCCAGCCUCCAUAGACAGUGUUUAAUAUUUUCCUUGCUUUGCCUUCCUUUACUCUAGUUUCU